UUUCAAAUAUGUAAGUACUACAUGAAUAUCCCGAAAAUACAAAAAUAAAUACUUUGCCCAGAAGUCAAAAAAAGAAAUGCAUAACAAAGGCAGAACAUAAAAGAAUUAUGUAACAAUAUUUUAAAAUACAACAAGCCCACAAUAUAAUUAUAUACUUAUCAGACUAGGUAGUUAAAAUCUUAUGAGAGUCGAAAAAUGUUUCCACACAUACAUAUGUUUUAACUUUUCAUCUAAUACAUAUACUAUAUCUCUCUGCUAUAUUUGGGUGAGGCAAAUUGAGCUGAAAAGUAGCGUAAAGAUCAGAGUGCCUAGCCAAGAUGCCAAUCGUUUGCGUCGUAUUGCGUCAACGAUUGGCGUUUUGGGUAGGCACCCUGAUACUAAAUAGAUUAUUAUAUAAAUUAAUACACAAUGUAUUAGUGGAACCAGAAUGAGCGAGAGUAAGAAAAUACAAAAGUGGUCCUAACUCUAACAAAUACAGUUUUUUAAGAGCUCUCUUAGUUUUUUACUCGUUUCACGUAGACUCGUGUCGAUGUAGUGAUGGCGGCCAUUUUGAAAACUGGACUUCUAUUUGACAGGCGUACAAAGACAUCGCAUACUCAUUUGUUUAUCAUGGUGCUUCUUAACACAUUCAGGGCCAAGAACCCGACUGUCGGGUACACUGUCCGUAGCGACUACGCGCUACAUACGACGAAACCGUGCGUAACCCGUACGAGCGUAACCCGUAGCACUUAGUGGCAAUGAAUGUGUUAAUAAACUAUCGAUUGUAGAAGUAGCGUAGUUUAAAAAAAAUAUUGACAGCUGAAAUAGAUGGCGCUGUGUGCCUCCGUAGUAUCUGCGGCAGUUCUGGUUGUCAAAAAUUGACAUUUGACAGUCAAGUGACCACUAAUAAACAUCGUUGUUCAGUGCCAUCUACUUUAGGUGUCAAACUCGGGUUUUUUCUUACGUGACAACUCUCCUACAACGAAUAAUACUUUGCUGUUCAAAGUUGAUUAGGGGCUCACAUGUAUUCGUCUAAAUGCUGUCAAAAUUAGAAAAUAUCCAUUAUGUAUAAUAAAUAUUAGUACAUUUAGUAUUAUAAAUAUAACAGUGCGAUCACUACAUCACACAUAACACUCAAUACAUAAAAUACCCUACACACACCAACGAAAGGCAGCAACACACACCUUGGUUAUACUAUACAUUCGCUAUCAGAUAUAUGAGCGAUUCUUUUAUUUUUUGCCAUUUUUAUAUAUUGUGACCUUUUUUGCCACUUUUGUGUUAUUUCUAGUGAGGAUCGCGAGCCCUUUUCAUCCUUAUAGGAGAAAAAAAGUGUCCAAAAUUUUCAGACUUUCCGUUUCGUGACCGCUAUAUAAAGUAUACGGGGAAAUGGUAACACAAUAAGAAAAAAACUCUGGGACAUUUUUUUAUCCCAUUAGGAUCGAAAGAGCUCGUGAUUCUGAGUAGAAAUAACACAAAAGUAGCAAAAAAGGUCACAAUAUUAUAAAAAUGGCAAAAAAUAAAAGAAACGCUCAAUAUCGGAGCGGCCUAGGCGCCCACAAAUAUCUGAACACACCUCUAUUGAGUUCGUGUUCAGAUAUUUUUGAGCAUCUAGGCCGCUCCGAUAUAUCUGAUGGUGACUGUACAUUUGAUUUUCUACCAUAUUUCAAGAAUAGUCUAAGUUACAAGCAUACUAUUGGCCGGCGUUAUGAAUAUCGACUUUAUUUUGUUAAAAAUAAGGUAGAAAAUCAAAUGGAUUAUUUGCCACCAAAAAUUCAUUGACCGUAUAAAAUGUGUCAAAAGUAAGAACUAAUUCGUGUUAUACCUUACAGAUCUGAUAAUGUCAUUAUCUAACAUUUUUGAGCAGCCAAGGUGUUCAAAAAUAUCCCAACGUGCACUUUAACGUCUUGAUAUUAGGCUUCGUUCACAUGUUUUUGAACACUUUCGAUGUAUCUGAA